AAGAAAAUUCGAUUCCCUUAGUAGCGGCGAGCGAAACGGGAAGAGCCCAAACCAACAAGCUUGCUUGUUGGGGUUGUAGGACACUCUAUACGGAGCUACAAAGGACGACAUUAGACGAAUCAUCUGGAAAGAUGAAUCAAAGAAGGUAAUAAUCCUGUAGUCGAAAAUGUUGUCUCUCUUGAGUGGAUCCUGAGUACGACGGAGCACGUGAAAUUCCGUCGGAAUCUGGGAGGACCAUCUCCUAAGGCUAAAUACUCUCUAGUGACCGAUAGUGAACCAGUACCGUGAGGGAAAGGUGAAAAGCACCCCGGAAGGGGAGUGAAAUAGAACCUGAAACCGUGUGCUUACAAGUAGUCAGAGCCCGUUAAUGGGUGAUGGCGUGCCUUUUGUAGAAUGAACCGGCGAGUUACGAUUUGAUGCAAGGUUAAGCAGUAAAUGUGGAGCCGUAGCGAAAGCGAGUCUGAAUAGGGCGUUUAGUAUUUGGUCGUAGACCCGAAACCAGGUGAUCUACCCUUGGUCAGGUUGAAGUUCAGGUAACACUGAAUGGAGGACCGAACCGACUUACGUUGAAAAGUGAGCGGAUGAACUGAGGGUAGCGGAGAAAUUCCAAUCGAACCUGGAGAUAGCUGGUUCUCUCCGAAAUAGCUUUAGGGCUAGCCUCAAGUGAUGAUUAUUGGAGGUAGAGCACUGUUUGGACGAGGGGCCCCUCUCGGGUUACCGAAUUCAGACAAACUCCGAAUGCCAAUUAAUUUAACUUGGGAGUCAGAACAUGGGUGAUAAGGUCCGUGUUCGAAAGGGAAACAGCCCAGACCACCAGCUAAGGUCCCAAAAUAUAUGUUAAGUGGAAAAGGAUGUGGCGUUGCCCAGACAACUAGGAUGUUGGCUUAGAAGCAGCCAUCAUUUAAAGAGUGCGUAAUAGCUCACUAGUCGAGUGACACUGCGCCGAAAAUGUACCGGGGCUAAACAUAUUACCGAAGCUGUGGAUUGUCCUUUGGACAAUGGUAGGAGAGCGUUCUAAGGGCGUUGAAGCAUGAUCGUAAGGACAUGUGGAGCGCUUAGAAGUGAGAAUGCCGGUGUGAGUAGCGAAAGACGGGUGAGAAUCCCGUCCACCGAUUGACUAAGGUUUCCAGAGGAAGGCUCGUCCGCUCUGGGUUAGUCGGGUCCUAAGCUGAGGCCGACAGGCGUAGGCGAUGGAUAACAGGUUGAUAUUCCUGUACCACCUAUAAUCGUUUUAAUCGAUGGGGGGACGCAGUAGGAUAGGCGAAGCGUGCGAUUGGAUUGCACGUCUAAGCAGUAAGGCUGAGUAUUAGGCAAAUCCGGUACUCGUUAAGGCUGAGCUGUGAUGGGGAGAAGACAUUGUGUCUUCGAGUCGUUGAUUUCACACUGCCGAGAAAAGCCUCUAGAUAGAAAAUAGGUGCCCGUACCGCAAACCGACACAGGUAGUCAAGAUGAGAAUUCUAAGGUGAGCGAGCGAACUCUCGUUAAGGAACUCGGCAAAAUGACCCCGUAACUUCGGGAGAAGGGGUGCUCUUUAGGGUUAACGCCCAGAAGAGCCGCAGUGAAUAGGCCCAAGCGACUGUUUAUCAAAAACACAGGUCUCUGCUAAACCGUAAGGUGAUGUAUAGGGGCUGACGCCUGCCCGGUGCUGGAAGGUUAAGAGGAGUGGUUAGCUUCUGCGAAGCUACGAAUCGAAGCCCCAGUAAACGGCGGCCGUAACUAUAACGGUCCUAAGGUAGCGAAAUUCCUUGUCGGGUAAGUUCCGACCCGCACGAAAGGCGUAACGAUUUGGGCACUGUCUCAACGAGAGACUCGGUGAAAUCAUAGUACCUGUGAAGAUGCAGGUUACCCGCGACAGGACGGAAAGACCCCGUGGAGCUUUACUGUAGCCUGAUAUUGAAAUUCGGCACAGCUUGUACAGGAUAGGUAGGAGCCUUUGAAACGUGAGCGCUAGCUUACGUGGAGGCGCUGGUGGGAUACUACCCUAGCUGUGUUGGCUUUCUAACCCGCACCACUUAUCGUGGUGGGAGACAGUGUCAGGCGGGCAGUUUGACUGGGGCGGUCGCCUCCUAAAAGGUAACGGAGGCGCUCAAAGGUUCCCUCAGAAUGGUUGGAAAUCAUUCAUAGAGUGUAAAGGCAUAAGGGAGCUUGACUGCGAGACCUACAAGUCGAGCAGGGUCGAAAGACGGACUUAGUGAUCCGGUGGUUCCGCAUGGAAGGGCCAUCGCUCAACGGAUAAAAGCUACCCCGGGGAUAACAGGCUUAUCUCCCCCAAGAGUUCACAUCGACGGGGAGGUUUGGCACCUCGAUGUCGGCUCAUCGCAUCCUGGGGCUGUAGUCGGUCCCAAGGGUUGGGCUGUUCGCCCAUUAAAGCGGUACGCGAGCUGGGUUCAGAACGUCGUGAGACAGUUCGGUCCCUAUCCGUCGUGGGCGUAGGAAAUUUGAGAGGAGCUGUCCUUAGUACGAGAGGACCGGGAUGGACAUACCUCUGGUGUACCAGUUGUCGUGCCAACGGCAUAGCUGGGUAGCUAUGUGUGGACGGGAUAAGUGCUGAAAGCAUCUAAGCAUGAAGCCCCCCUCAAGAUGAGAUUUCCCAACUUCGGUUAUAAGAUCCCUCAAAGAUGAUGAGGUUAAUAGGUUCGAGGUGGAAGCAUGGUGACAUGUGGAGCUGACGAAUACUAAUCGAUCGAAGACUUAAUCAA
rnacentral:rRNA from 1 species